ensembl:lncRNA
CGGACUGGAGAGCGACACCCGAUGGGGGGUGGGGACUGGCACUCGGACAUGCACGGGUCAAGUGUUGGAGGAGAUUGCAGGAGGGUAACCUGGUCCCAUCUGGAGCUUAUCAGAGCCUGACCCGGUUUUGGCGUGCUACGUUCGCGCGCCGCUCCUUUGGGACCUGUUCCCUCCUCGUUGCUGACAAAGAGAAGAAGGCCACAGCCGUUCUAUCCCAGCUCAGACCCACAUACCUCGACUCAACCCGAGCCCAACAUCGCCGGAUCCUUCCUCACGCUGCCCGCUCCCAAGAAGUUGCUUACAUUACACUUCCUCCCUCCCUCUCUCAUUGUAGGUCACUUGGUCUACCUUCCUCCAUUUUGGAAAAGGGCUUGCGGGGAUAUUUUGCCCUA